ensembl:lincRNA Gm4349 predicted gene 4349
AGAGUUGUGGGGAGGACGGACUGAGGGCCAAAGCAUGUCCUCCCUCCCUGGGUGCAUGAGUUUGGCUGCAGCGCCAGCUGCAGCUGACUCUGCAGAGAUUGCUGAGCUGCAGCAGGCGGUGGUUGAAGAGCUGGGUAUCUCUAUGGAGGAACUUCGUCAGUACAUUGAUGAGGAACUGGAAAAGAUGGACUGCAUACAGCAGCGCAAGAAGCAGCUCGCAGAGCUGGAGACGUGGGUACUACAGAAAGAGUCUGAAGUGGCUUAUGUUGAUCGGCUGUUUGAUGAUGCAUCCAGGUAGGGAUUCCAGGAAGCAGAAGUAAAUGUCCAUCUGUGUCCUCCUUGGAGUGACUGUUGUUGUCAUUGUCCUAAGCACUUUAUACUUUGGCGACUUCAGUCAGGUGGGGCCUUACUCUUCCUCUGAGUUUGUAAUGCAGAGUUGCAACACAACACUUUUUCCCUGUGGGUAGCUGCUAUGUGAUCAGCAGUAGUUAGGUUAAAGGCUUGAAUUCCCUUGUCUUCCUCCUGGACUGACCUUCCUUCCUAAGAUCCCCAGAAAGUGAAGAUUGUAGAGUUGCUGUCUUUUCUGUUUUUCUGAGACAGAAUCCCAAUACCUAAAUCUUGCUGGCCUGCAACUUGCAGAGAUCUGCCGACUUUUGCCUCCUAAGAGCUGCAAUGAAAUGAUCCUAGCUUAUGCUUGUUGAGUUGAUUGGGGUUUCANNNUUUAUUUUGUGUUUGGGUUAUCAAUUAGGGCUAAGCAAUCAUUUGCCAGUUCAGCUACAUCCUCAGCCUCUGUUAUCUUUAAUUGUGAAACAUUAAAAUUCAUAAUUCCUCCAUAAUAUAUGUUUCAGAUCACCAGUGCAAUUUAAGAUUUUGGAUUGUUGAAAGACUAGUUGAAAAUUGAUGCAGCUAUUCAUUAUAUUGACGAUAUUUGGCUGGACUCACAGAGACCAAACUACCUCUGUCUCUUUACUGGUGAGAUUAAAGGGAUAUUUCACAACACCCAGCAAAAUGAAGUUGCUAUUUAAAGCUGUCUACUUAGUUCCCAAAGCCACAUAGAUAAUAAGUAUUGGAUAUUCUUAUUUUUGUAAUAGCGGGUGAAAACUGAACUCUGGCAAGUUGUUUCAUAGAAUAAUUGCAUGGAAACAAACUUUAUGUGGAAAAAGCAUUCUAAAUACUUUGGAACAUGUAGAGCAAACAGUCUAUAUUUAAAUAUACAUAAUUUCCUGUUACUGUGUUGUGUUUUGUGUGUGUAUGUCGGGGGGGGUUGUUUUUUGGUUUUUCUUGUUUCUGUUUUUGUUUUGUUUUAUUUUUGAGACCGUUUCUUUCUAACUCUGGCUGUCCUGGAACUACCUCUGUAUACCAAAUUGGCCUGGAACUCAGAGAUCUGCUUGCCUCUGCCUCCUGAGUGCUGGGUUCUGUUUUUGUUCUGUCUAAAGGUUUCUUACUCUGUAGGCCAUGCUGGCCAUGAAGCACUGUCUCCACUGGCUUUGAUCUUUUCUGCAUGUGUUCCAAUAUCAGGGAAGUGACUAACUGUGAGUCUUUGGUGAAGGAUUUCUACUCUAAGCUGGGACUACAGUAUCAUGACAGUAGCUCUGAGGAUGAAGCUUCCCGGCCCACAGAGAUCAUUGAGAUUCCUGAUGAAGAUGAUGAUGUCCUCAGUAUUGAUUCAGGUAAAUGAUGAAGCUUUGGUCAGAAAAGUCUUAGAAUGGAAGCUGAAAUACUGGAAGACAAGUAUGUUGCACAUAAAGAAUCACAUUGUCAUUACUUAAUAUGCCAAAAACCUGACUGACUUAUUAUGACAACAAGUAAGUAUUCUUAGCAUCGUAAGUGUUUUCUGUAUUCUGAUUGCUUCCUUUCCCCAUUUCAGAUAAAGUAUACUUAUUUUCUGUCUUUUCCCCCAUGUGUUUGUGUGUAGUUUGCCUAUGUCUGAGUUUCUUUUUCAGUUACUGUGAUCAAAUAAUCUGACAAAAUCAUUUGAAGGUUAAGGGGGCUGAUCCUGGUUCCAAGUUCCAGAUCAUAUCCAUGAUGGUCGGGGAAAUCACAGUGGCAAAAGCCUAAAGCAUCUGGUCACAUUGUUCUGCAAUCUGGAAACAGAGGGAGUGUCUCAUCCUGCUGCUCCUCCAAUNNNNNNNNNNNGUAUUUAUGAAGUCUAUGGAAUGGUACCACUCACAGUGGGCUGGUCCAUGAACACCAUGAAACAUUUAGUAAAUACUUCCCUUGGUAACUUUUUUUUUUGUUUGUUUUGCAUUGUGGUUCUGAUGUGUGCUAUGUAUGUAGUACAUGAAGCAGUAAACUCUAAGCAUCAAGUUACAAC